UCCCUGGUGGCUUAGACGGUAAAGAAUCCGCCUGCAAAGCUAGAGACCCAGGUUCAAUCCCUGGGCUGGGAA
rnacentral:tRNA from 1 species